rnacentral:lncRNA from 1 species
AUUCUAAGUCAUAUAGCUAGUAACAGAAUACUUGUGGUGAUACAUGCAUAUUUUCAUACUAAUUUAACUAGUAAGUAACGAAUUUUAUAACCAAAUUUCCAGUCAUAAGAAAAACAAUCCACUAUCAACAGGAGUGAAUAAAAAAUACUGUACAUACUUGCAAUUUAUGACAAUUAUUAACAUCAAAUAAUCACAGGAGAAAUAUUUACACCAAUGUCAAUUUUUAAACAUGGAAUUUAAAAGGAUUUGUUCACUACAAUUAUAACUGUGCAAAAGAGACAUUUAUGUGGAAAAAAUGGAAAAGAAUAUUAAUAAAGAAAACUAUAUGGGUAAUGUUAUUUUAGUUUUUUCAAAUUUCCCUUAAUGUGAUUUAUAUGGUAGAUAAAUAUAUAAAUAUUCUGAAAGGAUGUACAGUAAACUGUUAAGACUCUUUACUUCCGAGGAAUGUUAAUGAAAAUUUUGGAAAGAAGGAUAAGAUCUUUUUAUUCCAUUUUAUGUCAAUCUUGUAUAAUGUUUGAAAUUUUAAUGAAGUGAGUAUAUUCAUUUUACUUGAAACAGAGAAAAU